UCGAGUAGGUUGGUAGCUUUGAUUUUCCGAAGAAAAGUCAAGCGGCUUGUCAAACGGAAGCGGCACUACGUGGUGGUCAAGGAUUUCUCGAUGUUGGGCGAAGAGGUUAACAGACUGGAAAUACGUGAGGGAGUCUAUUAUGGUGUGAUUAUGUAGGUAGACAUACCUCUAAAGGAGAGUCUGCGACAAUCCUGUUUGGUAGAAGAAGAAGAAGUGAAGAAAGAAAAGGACUGAAAGAAGCAGUCGUGGAAGAAGAAGCAGAAGAAGAACAAGAAGGUGAAAGAUGCGCCAAGAGAGAUAGGCUCGCGCGGCUAUGUUGGAUAGUAAAAAAUCCUAAUGGACGACAAGCCCAAGCGACGAGGGCCAAAUGACGACGACCAUCUUGACCCAUCAUCAUCAGCAUCACCAAGAACCAGUAACAACAGUCAUCACCUCAGGGAUUUUUUUUUUAGAGAAUUCAGUCUUCAAUAUUAGUCAAAAAAUUAUAUGAAACUUUUAUAUAUUUAUAGAAUUAAAUUGUAUUAAGUAUACAAAAGAAAAACAGGGUUUGAGUAGGCAAUUUGUUACUGGAUAUCAAGUUUUGGUGACUUUAGAGGGUAGAGUAUUGCUAAUAUGUUGCUUAAUCAAUGCAUGACAGCUGUCAAAUCUGACUGGUGCAUUUGAGCUGAAUAACCCUGUAGAGAGAGUCCUGUCGCUAUGGUGGCAGGGAUUCUUGAAGAGGACGAAGAGACGGUGCACCGUUCUCAAAGGCACCGCCAGAGAGACGUCGUAUCGUCGAACCGGACCCAAGCAAGUCCCGACAUCUUCACUUGUCUGCUGCCUAUUAGUAAGUCCCGUCACAACCCGCUAAUGAUCGGUCCAACCCCUUUCCUGGGUUCUCCACCCUCUCACUGAGAAAACGAAUAAGUGGAAAGAAGAUACGAAUAUAGGAGUAUAACGAAAACUAAUACUUCCUAAUGCAUCCC